GACGAACGCUGGCGGCGUGCUUAACACAUGCAAGUCGAACGAGUGGCGAACGGGGGAGUAACACGUGGGUGACCUGCCCUGCACUUCGGGAUAAGCCUGGGAAACUGGGUCUAAUACCGGAUAGUGUGGGAUGGGCCCGCGGCCUAUCAGCUUGUUGGGGGGGUAAUGGCUACAAAGGCGCGACGGGUAGCCGGCCUGAGAGGGUGGACGGCCACAUUGGGACUGAGACACGGCCCAGACUCCUACGGGAGGCAGCAGGUGGGAAUAUUGCACAAUGGGCGAAAGCCUGAUGGAGCAAUGCCGCGUGUAUGAAGAAGGCCUUAGGGUUGUAAAGUACUUUCAGCGGGGAGGCGUUAUCCGCAGAAGAAGCCCCGGCUAACUACGUGCCAGCAGCCGCGGUAAUUC
rnacentral:rRNA from 1 species